UUUUACAAUGGAGAGUUUGAUCCUGGCUCAGGAUGAACGCUAGCUACAGGCUUAACACAUGCAAGUCGAGGGGAAACGACAUCGAAAGCUUGCUUUUGAUGGGCGUCGACCGGCGCACGGGUGAGUAACGCGUAUCCAACCUGCCCACCACUUGGGGAUAACCUUGCGAAAGUAAGACUAAUACCCAAUGAUAUCUCUAGAAGGCAUCUGAAGGAGAUUAAAGAUUUAUCGGUGAUGGAUGGGGAUGCGUCUGAUUAGC
rnacentral:rRNA from 1 species